rnacentral:rRNA from 1 species
AUGUAUUUGUACAGGGACCAAAUUAAUGUGUACAUGCAAUGGCUCGAUAUCACAUUGUCACUGAACUUGCAGCCAAAUCGCCAUGUGGGGCAUGGCGGCUGGAGGCGGCCUAGAAAUGAAGCUCUUGCUGGCCUCUACGUGAAAUUAGACUUAACCCACACUUUACUUUCCCAUUUGAUGAUCACCCCACCCCUCUCAAGAUUGACGGGGCCCUGUAAGUCAGUACCUGUGGCAAAUAACCCUGGAGCAAAUCAUCUAAGACCAUGUUUGGUAAUCCACCAACUCCCAGAAUCUGGAGGAAAUUGCAGCUCCGUCAUUUUGAACUACAGCUUCACUAGCUUCGGGAGCGGAGUUGUGGAGCAGAGUGACACCGGGCCUAAAUCUUGA